GGGGACGACAGGCUUCGAUCUGGUCGAUCCGUGCGGAUGGUUGCAGGCCGAGGUUCCCGGAGGCCUCGCUAAACACCGGGAAAAACCAAUACGUGCGGACCAUGAGUUCGCCCUCGCCACUUAGCUCAAACUAAGUAGGUGAGAGUCGGCCCUCCCUGGGCCCGUGGGAAGGGGUAC
rnacentral:tmRNA from 1 species